GACGAACUGUCCUAACGUUGUUCGGAAUCACUGGGCUUAAAGGGCGCGUAGGCGGCUGUGCAAGUCAGGUGUGAAAGCCCUGGGCUCAACCCAGGAUGUGCACUUGAUACUGCACGGCUAGAGUGUCGGAGAGGAUGGUGGAAUUCCCAGUGUAGAGGUGAAAUUCGUAGAUAUUCGGAGGAACACCAGUGGCGAAGGCGGCUCACUGGUCCAUUACUGACGCUGGAGGUGCGAAAGCGUGGGGAGCAAACAGG
rnacentral:rRNA from 1 species